rnacentral:tRNA from 1 species
UAGCUCAAGAUGGUAGAGUGUUUGCCUCACAUGCAUAAGGCCCUGGGUUCAAUCCCCAG